AUGCUGUCCCCUAUAUCCCCAGCAUCUCCAGAGCCAUUUUCCCCGGGGUCCCCCUGUCCCGAAGGGUCCCCGAGAGCUGCUAAACGUCCCCGAGCAUCCUCUUGUCCCCAGCUGUCCCCAGACCCUCCCAACCUUAAUUCCCAAGAGGCCCCAAGACCCCCCAAAUGUCCCCUACUAUCCUCUUCUCCACUGUCCCCGGACAUCCCCAGCCCCUGUUCCCAGGUGUCUCUGAGGUCCUCCGACCCAUGUCCUCAACUGUCCCCGUGUCCCCCAUUGUCCCCAAACCCCUGCAACCCCCAUCCUCAACCAUCCCCGUGUCCCUGGGUGUCCCCAGUGUCCUCCAGCCCAUCUCCUCAACCAUCUCCCUGUCCCCAAGCCUCCCCAAGCUCCAACCCCUGUCCCCAAACCUCCCCAAACUCCUCCAACCCAUCUCCACCACUAUCCCCGAGGUCCCCCAACCCGUGUCCCCGAGCGUCCCCAAGCUUAUCCGACCCACCUCCACCACCAUCCUUAUGCCUCCAGACAUCCCCAGGGUCCUCGAACCCGUGUCCCCAGCCGUCUCCCCAUCCCCAAGCCUCCCCAAGUUCCUCUAACCCCUGUCCCCAAGCUUCUCUGAGUUCCUCAAACCCGUCUCCAGUACCGUCUCCAGGCCCCCAAGCAUCACCACCCCCCCCAGCCACCUGUACCCCUGUGUCCCCAACGUGUCCCUAUUCCCAGACCCCCCAUGACCUCCUCCUCCUACCCAACGGUACCCACCCAGGGGUGCCGGUGGCCCGGGCAGCCCUGACCCAGGGGUCCCCUGUCUUGGGAGCCAUGUUGGGGGGGGCCUUUGCCGAGGCUCACCAGUCAGCGGUGGCCUUAGGCUGUGCCCCCCGCCACCCUCUCCUUCUCCUCCUCCAUUUUGUCCAUGGCUGCCGGGGCAGCCCCAGGAACGGGUGUCCCCUCCUGUGUUCCCCUGUGUCCACUGGCACUGCUGUCGCUGCCGUCGCCUUGGCCCACCGUUACCUGGUGGACGGCUUUGAGGAUGUGAUGGCCACUGCCGUCACUGCAUCCCCCAGUGCGCUCUGGGUCUUGGCCGAGCGGUGGGGUUGCGCCCUGUUGGCCACUCGGGCCGCCCAGGCUAUUUUGGAGGGGCCACCCCACAACGUGGCCCCCCGCUUGGUUCGGGUAGCCCAGCUGGCUCGAUGUCCCCCUCGCCUGGCCCGGGCCUUGAUGACUGCUGUGGCACCCCAGGGGGCCCAACCCCACCUUGAUAUGGGAGAGCCAAGGGGUUGGGAUGACCCCCUGCUGCGACCCCCUAGAGGCACUGAUGGGGACCUCAGAGAUGUCCAGGAGGACCUUGGAGACCUGGAGGGUGACUUUGGGGUCCCUUAUGAGGACCUUGGGGACACCGAUGGAGACCUCAGCAACAUGGUGGACCCCUUUAGGGACCCCUCUAGUGAUCUCGGGGACUCCUUAGGUGAAGAUAAUGUGGACAUGGAGGUCAAGGGGCCUCUCUAA
rnacentral:lncRNA from 1 species